ACCGUCAGCUGGUGCUGUGGAAGUGUUAGAUCCAACCUAAUAAUGAGCUGUCCUCUAACGAACUCUCAGUGAUGCGGGUUCUUUCAUCUCUCUGGCUCGUUUGGACCAGUCGGUCACAAUGGACCAUUGUGAGCCACCAAAAAAGCCCUCCUCGCCUCUCAGCGGAGUCAUCAAACUCCUCUCAACCCCCGCCUGUCUGUUCGGACUUCGUCCCCCCCUCCGUCCUCACAGCAGCGAAGACAGUGUCAAAGGUCGGCUGGCCUCGCUGACCAUGACAAGCUGCCUAACGCGGCCCGGCGCUGCAGCCGGAGCGCCGGCUCGUCCCGGGACGCCACCGCUAAGACGAGUGUGAGAGCGCGGGAGGUGGGUGUUUGUUCCCUGAUGCGAUGUAAUUGCCACAGCGGCAGCAGUAACGCGUCAGUGCUCUGGAGCCCAGUGCGAUCUUCACUAUUGGCAUUUCUCAGGAAGUGCGGAAAAACAAAGCUGGAUUUAGUGUGCUUUUACAGAAGAUCGGUUGUUUAGGUGGAAGAAGAGAAGGGAAGCGGAGCCUCGGAGUCACAACUGCAGAAGAAAGGAAGAGAAGACUGGUCGUGGCUGCAGAUCUGAGCUGGCACCCGUCUCCUAACGGGACGGCGCGGUGAGCAGAGACUUGGGGAUCCUGUGCAGGUCUGAGGACAGAGCAGACCGUUGCCACAUACUUGUCACGCUCCAGGAAGAGUAGCCGCUGCCCUGCGCCGUCUGCCUGCCAUCACACGGCUUCAUCAGACAAGUAAAAGCAGCGACGUCCACCAAGUUCAACUGGACGGUUCCAGUGAGGCACUGUGAGGCGAAUAAAGAGGCUCACAGUGUCUGAAGCUCGGGUUCUAAUCAGAGGCGGACCUGAACCAGAGCAGCGCUGCCAUCACACAGUCCUCCCAUUGUGGCCCAGGCGAGGAAUGCGAUCCAGCCGGAGAUACGGAGGGACCGACAGGUUGCUAAAGGUGCACCAGGCCCGGGGGGGGGGGCGGUCUCCAAAGGGGCGACGUGGAAGCCGCCGCCUUUCAUUGAUGUACCAGGUAUCAGGUUGUUAAUCAGUGGUUCGCGCUACCGUCGUCCAUUAACAACUCUAUUAAAGGCUAACCAAUGGACGCCACUCAACUAACUUCAGUAUGGCUAACGAUAAUUCAACUAUUUGUCAGCUGGACCUUAACUUUGUCAAAACAACGACUUAACUAAUGAAAGCGUUAGAAUGUGUAACCUGUGCAAAAUCAAAAGAUUCGUUCGUUUCGGCUGAAAGGACCUUUAAAUCCGUUCUUACCUGGAUUACGGGACAUGAAUUUUAGCUGAAAUUAGCUGACGGAAGCCACCGAACCGUUAGCCAGCUACUACAACGGCUACAAAGCACCUCUUGUGUUAGCUGGUUACUUUUAAAUAAAACAAUUAGCAUUAUUAGACACAUUACUGACUGAAGACACGUUGAAAUGUCAAUUUUAGGAGCUCAAGUUGU